GACGUAGGGCGCGAGCGUUGUCCGGAUUUAUUGGGCGUAAAGAGCUCGUAGGCGGCUUGUCGCGUCGUCCGUGAAAACCUGCAGCUCAACUGCAGGCUUGCGGUCGAUACGGGCAGGCUAGAGUUCGGUAGGGGAGACUGGAAUUCCUGGUGUAGCGGUGAAAUGCGCAGAUAUCAGGAGGAACACCGGUGGCGAAGGCGAGUCUCUGGGCUGUAUCUGACGCUGAUGCGCGAAAGCUAGGGGAGCAAACGGG
rnacentral:rRNA from 1 species